GAUACGGAUAAGGAAAUAAUAUGAUGCUUCAAAGAUUUAAAAAGGGAAACUCCAAAUCAUGACAAAUCAAGUUACCAUCGCUUAAUUCAAGGCUUACGAGAUGAGAACUAUAUUUGGGAAGCAUGGGAACAUAAGGAAACAAAUCAGACUCUCUUCAACACAUGUGGACGCACAAGACAAUUUCAGAUCGCGUAAUGCAUGUACAACCAA
rnacentral:lncRNA from 1 species